UACGUAGGGUGCAAGCGUUGUCCGGAAUUAUUGGGCGUAAAGAGCUUGUAGGCGGUUUGUCGCGUCUGCUGUGAAAUUUCGGGGCUCAACCCCGAACUUGCAUUGGGUACGGGCAGACUAGAGUGUGGUAGGGGAGACUGGAAUUCCUGGUGUAGCGGUGAAAUGCGUAGAUAUCUGGAGGAAUACCGGUGGCGAAGGCGGCAUCCUGGACCGACAUUGACGCUGAGGAGCGAAAGCUAGGGGAGCAAACGGG
rnacentral:rRNA from 1 species